AGCGUAAUACUUUAAAAAAAAGGUCAAAUUUGCGUUUUGAAAUUGGAAGAUUUUCCUUAUGCUAC